UUUGGCUGCCUCAAAAGCCUCCCCUUCUUCUAGAAAACCUGCAUGAAACCACUUCUCUUCUCUGGCAGUGAAUCUUCCCCCUGAGGGCAGCAGCAUGGAAAGAAGGAAGCUGAGAUUUGUCCUCAUCCCUUCAGAUUUUUUACCUUCCAGCAACACCUGGCAUCCCCUUUCUCUGAGAGCUCAGUAAAGGCUGCCACAGGGUGUCUCUAAGCAUUCCUUUUGGAAGGCUUUUAGGACCCAUCAAAGACAUCUGGAACUGUGGCAGGGAGAAGAAGACCAGUGCAGUCACAUCUUUUACUCAGUUCAGGCAGCCUUCUACCUGUCACCAUGCAGACAACUAAGAAGAUGACACAACAGAACAACCUGUCACGUAAAGUCCCUGUAAGUCUUGAAGCUAGCUCCUGUCUCUGCUGCCCUGCCUGCAGUCACAAACUAGGAAGUCAAACCCCUCAGACAAAACAGGGAAUACAAAUAAUGCUGCUGGAGUCACUCACAAUGCACAGCCAGGGCUGCCAGGCAGAGCAAGGCCAGGCAGAGGACCAGGCACCCAAGUUCUGUAUGCAAAGAUAAAUAAAGAUAUAAACAGUA